UUCAUUUAUUGGGUAACAAAACAACCUUAAGCGGGGUGUAUCAUUGAAGUACUUAUGGGUUUAAUUGGAAAUUUUUAAGUAUUAUAAUAGAAUUUUAUUGUUGAUAGAGUUUCUACAUUUUCUCCAGUUUGGAUGCUUUAAUUGGAUUCAUUCAAUACGUAACUGGCCGCCAAUCGCCAUUUGCUAGACUAUUCAUUAUCUCAUACAAUCUUUUUAGAAAUUCUCUUCGCUUUACAUGAGGAUCUAAGUCGAUCGUUGCUGUAAUAUUAUUAUUUUCUAGAAUAGUUCUCUUAUUAAUUAGAGGAUUCAAUAGUGCCCUAUUUCAAGUUUUAUUUUCAAGUUAUGGGCAUUCUCAAUUUACCUUUACGUCUUAAUUGCAAAAAACUGCUACUCGCAUGGAUGUUCACAAAAAAUUGCCGGCGAUUUGAUCAUAAUAUAAAAAGGUCGUUUCUUAUCAUUUAUGCAUAAUUUUGGAACUCUGACAUAUGCCAUAUAGGCUCUAAAUGCAAAUAUAAUUCAAAAAUUUUUGACAGGUCGCACUUUGCACAAAAAAUUUCUAUUUACCAACUUUUCAGUAUGAAAAUUACCUAUUAUAACAUCGCAUUUUGCAACAGAAUGUUCAUUAGAUUUAUGAAGUAUUAAAUUCUACACAAGA